rnacentral:rRNA from 1 species
UAGGGAAUCUUCGGCAAUGGACGAAAGUCUGACCGAGCAACGCCGCGUGAGUGAAGAAGGUUUUCGGAUCGUAAAACUCUGUUGUUAGAGAAGAACAAGGACGUUAGUAACUGAACGUCCCCUGACGGUAUCUAACCAGAAAGCCACGGCUAACUACGUGCCAGCAGCCGCGGUAAUACGUAGGUGGCAAGCGUUGUCCGGAUUUAUUGGGCGUAAAGCGAGCGCAGGCGGUUUCUUAAGUCUGAUGUGAAAGCCCCCGACUCAACCGGGGAGGGUCAUUGGAAACUGGGAGACUUGAGUGCAGAAGAGGGGAGUGGAAUUCCAUGUGUAGCGGUGAAAUGCGUAGAUAUAUGGAGGAACACCAGUGGCGAAGGCGGCUCUCUGGUCUGUAACUGACGCUGAGGCUCGAAAGCGUGGGGAGCAAACAGG